ACUGCUCAGUAUCACGUGGAUAACCUGCCCUUGGGACCGGCAUAACCCCGGGAAACUGGGGAUAAUUCCGGAUAACGCACAUAUGCUGGAAUGCUUUAUGCGUCAAAUGGAUUCGUCCGCCCAAGGAUGGGUCUGCGGCCUAUCAGGUAGUAGUGGGUGUAAUGUACCUACUAGCCAACAACGGGUACGGGUUGUGAGAGCAAGAGCCCGGAGAUGGAUUCUGAGACAUGAAUCCAGGCCCUACGGGGCGCAGCAGGCGCGAAAACUUUACAAUGCGGGAAACCGUGAUAAGGGGACACCGAGUGCUAGCAUCAUAUGCUGGCUGUCCAGGUGUGUAAAAUACACCUGUUAGCAAGGGCCGGGCAAGACCGGUGCCAGCCGCCGCGGUAACACCGGCGGCCCGAGUGGUGAUCGUGAUUAUUGGGUCUAAAGGGUCCGUAGCCGGUUUGGUCAGUCCUCCGGGAAAUCUGAUAGCUCAACUAUUAGGCUUUCGGGGGAUACUGCCAGACUUGGAACCGGGAGAGGUAAGAGGUACUACAGGGGUAGGAGUGAAAUCUUGUAAUCCCUGUGGGACCACCUGUGGCGAAGGCGUCUUACCAGAACGGGUUCGACGGUGAGGGACGAAAGCUGGGGGCACGAACCGGAUUAGAUACCCGGGUAGUCCCAGCCGUAAACGAUGCUCGCUAGGUGUCAGGCAUGGCGCGACCGUGUCUGGUGCCGCAGGGAAGCCGUGAAGCGAGCCACCUGGGAAGUACGGCCGCAAGGCUGAAACUUAAAGGAAUUGGCGGGGGAGCAC
rnacentral:rRNA from 1 species